CGAACGCUGGCGGCGUGGAUUAGGCAUGCAAGUCGAACGAGAAAAGUUUCUUCGGAAACUGAGUAGAGUGGCAAACGGGUGAGUAACGCGUGGGAAACCUGCCUUUUGGUUGGGGAUAACAUCUCUAACGAGGUGCUAAUACCGAAUGAGAUCUUUCCAUCGCAUGGUGGAUUGAUGAAAGACGGCCUCUGAUUUAAGCCGUCACCGAAAGAGGGUCCCGCGUCCCAUUAGCUAGUUGGUGAGGUAACGGCUCACCAAGGCUGCGAUGGGUAGCCGGCCUUAGCGGGUGAUCGGCCACACUGGGACUGAGAUACGGCCCAGACUCCUACGGGAGGCAGCAGUCGAGAAGCUUCCACAAUGGGGGAAACCCUGAUGGAGCGACGCCGCGUGGGUGAUGAAGGUUUUCGGAUCGUAAAGCCCUUUCAGCAGGGAAGAAGGAUACCGGUGUUAAUACCACCGGGAUUAAGACGGUACCUGCAUAAGAAGCUCCGGCUAACUCC
rnacentral:rRNA from 1 species